UCCCUCAUAGCUCAGUUGGUAAAGAAUCUGCCUGCAAUGCAGGAGACCUGGGUUCGAUUCCUGGGUUGGGAA
rfam:TPA: Bos taurus chromosome 11, whole genome shotgun sequence.